rnacentral:misc_RNA from 1 species
CUAAGCCCUCUUUCUUUCUCUCUAUCUCUCUCUGGGUUCGAGAAAGUGCAACAGAAUCGCUUCAACCUAUAAAGAAUACUCAACCUCCCCUAACCCAUGAAGUGAAAAAAGAAAAAAAAGAAAAAAAUUCUUGCCUUAAGAGUUAGAUCACUCAAUCUUCUUACCUCACCCUUUCUUCUCUUUCGUAUUCUCAUCCCUUCUUUUAUAUCCGUCCAAGACAAUCUUGGUCUGAUUUUUGGUUCUUCUAUGUAUAUAUAAUAUCUGUACCUCGAAGCCAUAAGUACAAGGCAUCUUCCUCCAUGAUUAAAAAUAAAAUAUAGGGAUAAAAGGCAAAAUAUGGUUAUUAGUAGUGGUUCUGCACUGUUUAAGGUGUUAUUUGCAGCAAUUGCAACGUUAGGUUUUGUCUGCCUUCUGUUAGUUGCAACUCUGCCAACUGAAGCAACCAAAAGCACAACAACCGUUCAAACCACUGCAAGUUUCAAACAUGAGGCAGAUAUAGGAAGAGAGAAGCUUAUUUAUGACCCAGAAUUGGAUUUCAACUAUAUGAUGAGCAAGAGAAAAGUUCCCAAUGGUCCUGAUCCCAUUCAUAACAGGUACAUAAUCAAGCAUGCCGUUCUAUAUCUGUGAAUAUUCAUGCAUGUGUUUUAAAAUCUUUUUUACGGGUAGUGAUUAGAAAAAUAAAAUAAUAGGCUAGCUCUACGUUAUAUGAGUUAAUUUCAUUUCCAAUGCUGGUGGGGAUCCUUAUCAUGUUAUUUAUUCAGAAGUUCUUUCCCAUUACUCAAUAAGCGUGAGUUUGUAGGACUUAGUCAGAUUAUUUAUUUGUGAUUUAGAAUUCACAGGUUUAAAUUACAAAAACAAUUUUCUAGCAACACCAAGCAAAACUCAAACUCACAAUGUAGAAAUUUCAUGUACUGAGAUACCUUCUUAUUAAAUACAAAACUUGAAGCAAUUUUAAGUAAUUUUAAGUUGAAAUCAUCACAAGGUACUUCCCUACUCAAAGAUGGUGGAAAGACGAUGAUUCUUAAGAUUAAAUAUAUUUCUACAUGUUUAUCUGCUUCCCACUAUAUCUUCUCAAUCAGUACUUUAACAUCCAUAAUCUCUUAAUCCUAAAC